rnacentral:rRNA from 1 species
CUGGAGGUAUCAGAAGUGCGAAUGCUGACAUAAGUAACGAUAAAGCGGGUGAAAAGCCCGCUCGCCGGAAGACCAAGGGUUCCUGUCCAACGUUAAUCGGGGCAGGGUGAGUCGACCCCUAAGGCGAGGCCGAAAGGCGUAGUCGAUGGGAAACGGGUUAAUAUUCCCGUACUUGGUGUUACUGCGAAGGGGGGACGGAGAAGGCUAUGUUGGCCGGGCGACGGUUGUCCCGGUUUAAGCGUGUAGGUGUGUGUUCCAGGUAAAUCCGGUUCACUUUAACACUGAGGCGUGACGACGAGGCACUACGGUGCUGAAGCAACAAAUGCCCUGCUUCCAGGAAAAGCCUCUAAGCAU